rnacentral:rRNA from 1 species
UACGUAGGGCGCAAGCGUUGUCCGGAAUUAUUGGGCGUAAAGAGCUCGUAGGCGGUUUGUCGCGUCUGCUGUGAAAACCUAAGGCUCAACCUUGGGCUUGCAGUGGGUACGGGCAGACUAGAGUGCGGUAGGGGUGACUGGAAUUCCUGGUGUAGCGGUGGAAUGCGCAGAUAUCAGGAAGAACACCGAUGGCGAAGGCAGGUCUCUGGGCCACUACUGACGCUGAGAAGCGAAAGCAUGGGGAGCGAACAGG